UAACAUCAUGUAAAAUACCAGAUAUGAUAAUCAAAUAUUGAAUAAUAUGUUUCAGUUCGCUUUAUCAAAUGUCAUGGAUGAUUUAAAAAUUUAUUUUAGUAAAAAAUACAUUUCAUCAAGCAGAUUAUCCAAAGUGCUAAGUUGUAAUCGUUUAGAUAUCAUUUUCGUCUUCAUCAGUUAUAUAAUGACUUGAAUUAACGUUGUCAUUGUAUAUCGGAAAGUGAGUCAGCGUCCAAUAAAUAGCAACACAUGAACCAGAUGCCAGUCACGCAUAAUUAUCUCCAUUUAUGGAUCUGUAAGACAUCCGAAGGUGAGACAAGGUAAUUAAUUUUACAUGAACUGAAAGGCGAUCGAUUUUCCGGUUUAGAGAUUGAUACAAAAUACACAAUAAGUCAGAUAUUAUAAUUUUAAUUAACACUAAGUACUUGUCGCACUUCUCCAUUUUGCAAAGUGCAAUUAAAUUCAAGUGAUCUAUAUUUUAUUUCAUGACAGUAUUACCCAUAUCCAAGAACCAGCUCUUUAGAUUAUUUUCCACGGGUAAUCGUAUCUUGUUUGCUGUGACCGAUUUUAUAUAUUUUUCUGCAGCAGAAAUGAGAUACUCGACCUCAGAGAUAAAGGUACACCUUAUCAUUUGCGAUAAGGUGUUUUUGCACGAACACUCGCUUCGAUUCUCAUUCGAUUGGAGGACAAUUCUUUUAUUAAUAAGUCUAUUUUUUGAUACAUGAAAAUCCAAUUCAGAUUUAUUUAGAAGACUCCAGACACUAAAGAAGGUCGAAACGGUUAAUAAAAUGAACUAUUUAUUGUGAUAUAAAAGUAGAAUAUAAUUUCAACUGUUUAUGGUAUACAAAUAUCUCUUCAGAGUAUAUAAAUACUCUUAUUGUACUGUUCAACUGUGUAUUCACGUCUUAAUCUAGAAUAAGCCUUAAUUAACUAGCACAGAUGUUGUUAAUAGAAGAGAUUCAUAACAAUUCUGCACAAGCUUCGCUUGUGCGUAUACAACAGUUUUUCGCGCGUUACAAUUUUCUUCUGGCUGUUAACUUGACGUACAAAAAAAAA